UAGGGAAUCUUCCACAAUGGGCGCAAGCCUGGAUGGAGCAACACCGCGUGAGUGAAGAAGGGUUUCGGCUCGUAAAGCUCUGUUGUUAAAGAAGAACACGUAUGAGAGUAACUGUUCAUACGUUGACGGUAUUUAACCAGAAAGUCACGGCUAACUACGUGCCAG
rnacentral:rRNA from 1 species